GUGAUAUAUGAAAGGACAGAAGGUUAGCACUCUCCUCGACAAAGACGGAAUAGCCUCUGGGCCUGUAACACACAUAUUCGGUUAAGGCACAGGCGGCCUACUUCUUUCAAGGCAGUUUGUUAU